UGCUCCUCCAAAUCCUAAAAUACGUGAAGCUGCAUGAGAAAUUACCGGAGCCAAAGUUUGUCGUCUGGUCAGUUGGGGCAGAGAUAUUUUGUGCUUGUAACCCUGUGGAUUUGAAAAACAGGAAUAGCAAAUGAACAUGUUAAGAGGAUUAAAAAAAUGCUCAGAGGAAGAAAUGUCACUUUGAAGGUAGUAGGGUUUCUUUUUUGUCUAUUAUGAAAAGAGCAUUUUGUAAAUUCGUGAAGUACUAUGUAGGUAGGCAUGAGUAAGGAAAUGUGGGAUUAGGUUUUUUAUGUCAAAUAUUGGUAAAUGGUCACCACAGCCACAUGAGAACCCAUACUCAUAUAUUUCUGAUGUGGUUUAUCCAAUAUUUGUCUAGUUUCA